UACAGAGGUCUCAAGCGUUGUUCGGAUUCAUUGGGCGUAAAGGGUGCGUAGGCGGCGCGGUAAGUCGGGUGUGAAAUCUUGGAGCUUAACUCCGAAACUGCAUUCGAUACUGCCGUGCUUGAGGACUGGAGAGGAGACUGGAAUUUACGGUGUAGCGGUGAAAUGCGUAGAUAUCGUAAGGAAGACCAGUGGCGAAGGCAGGUCACUGGGCAGUUACUGACACUGAGGCACGAAGGCUAGGGGAGCAAACGGG
rnacentral:rRNA from 1 species